rnacentral:tRNA from 3 species
GCGGGAAUAACUCAGUGGUAGAGUGUCAGCUUCCCAAGCUGAAGGUCGCGGGUUCAAAUCCCGUUUCCCGCUCCA